GGCCAGGGCUUCACACGUAAUACAAUGGUCGGUACAGAGAGUUGCCAACCCGCGAGGGGGAGCUAAUCUCAGAAAGCCGAUCGUAGUCCGGAUUGUUCUCUGCAACUCGAGAGCAUGAAGUCGGAAUCGCUAGUAAUCGCGGAUCAGCAUGUCGCGGUGAAUACGUUCCCGGGCCUUGUACACACCGCCCGUCACACCAUGGGAGUGGGUUUUACCAGAAGUAGGUAGUCUAACCGCAAGGGGGACGCUUACCACGGUAGUAUUCAUGACUGGGGUGAAGUC
rnacentral:rRNA from 1 species